GCAAAUUUAAGGACCCAGAACCCUGGCCUGCCAUGAGGACUGUGCAAACAUGAUAAUGCUGGAUGGCGGGGUUAAUGUAGAAUAUUGAAGGGAGCAGCCUGUCAUAAGGUUGCAUAUUAGCAAAAUGAUCACCAGCAGCUGAGUAUUGGAGCAAGGAUCAUUGGUCUUUUUGUGAUGUUUUUGGAAUGGAGCCCUGAAGUGCAGGUUAAAGACUUGGUGGCAGCACCUAAGCCCUGGUGGAGGCUGUAUCUCCCAGAGGAUGGUCAGUUCCAGGGAUCA
rnacentral:lncRNA from 1 species